AAGUCGUAACAAGGUAACCGUAGGUGAACCUGCGGUUGGAUCAUUACCAAUUAAGACUCGCAAGAGUCAUUAACACCUGUGCACUAUUUAUUGUUUCUGGGUGUCCUUUAAUUAGGCGCCCAACCGUAUUAACAUUACUAUUUGUCUGAUAUCUUAUAAAAUAAGAAACAACUUUUGACAACGGAUCUCUUGGCUCUCGCAUCGAAGAACGCAGCCUGUCUCUUAUACA
rnacentral:misc_RNA from 1 species